rnacentral:rRNA from 1 species
UGAAACACGGACCAAGGAGUCUAGCGUAUACGCGAGUCAUUGGGUGGAAAACCCAUAGGCGUAAUGAAAGUGAAGGUCUCUUUCUGAGGCUGAUAUGCGAUCCGUUGCACUACGGUGUAGCGGAGCAGCAUAGCCCCAUCUCGACUGCUUGCAGUGGGGUGGAGGUAGAGCGUAUUCGCUGGUACCCGAAAGAUGGUGAACUAUGCCUGAGCAGGAUGAAGCCAGAGGAAACUCUGGUGGAGGUCCGAAGCGCUUCUGACGUGCAAAUCGAUCGUCUGACUUGGGUAUAGGGGCGAAAGACUAAUCGAACCAUCUAGUAGCUGGUUCCCUCCGAAGUUUCCCCCAGGAUAGCUGGAGCCUGAUAAAUUAGUUAUACUCGGUAAAGCGAACGAUUAGAGGACUUGGGGUCAAAAGACCUUAACCUAUUCUCAAACUCUCAAUGGGUAUGAAGUAUUAGUUGCUUGAUUGAACUAGUACGUUGAAUAUAGGCUCCAAGUGGGCCAUUUUUGGAAAGCA